UUUAUAUUUUUGCUUCCUGUAUCCAAACUUUUAGAGUUCUAAGUAUACAGAGAACAAACCCUAACAGAAAAAAAACAUGAACGCAGAUGUAUUUGCAUUUGUGAUGAUGAAUAUGCUCUCUGCAUUUUCUGGGGAGGUUGGAUUGAGUGAUGAAUCAAAGCUUCUCAUUAUUAAUUUCUAAAGCACACAAAUCAUUAACAUCAGAUGCAACAUAAAUGUUUUCCACAAGCAUCACAUGUACCACCCUAGAAAUAAAGGCAAUUUUAAAUUAAUCUAACCAUUAAAACAAUAUGUGGAUUGACUAUUUUUUCAGUGAGUGCUGAAUAAAGUAUUUUCAUUUGUUUGCAACCUCCUACAGACUUGUAAUUAAACCUUGAAUUGCUUUGCAACCAAAGCUUAGGUCGCACCCUAAAGACAAUAUCUGAGUGAUAAAAUUCUCUACGAGACACUCCUUCACAGUUAUUAUGCCCUUAAUAAUGCAUUUAAUGUUAUUGUUUUUCCAUUUCUCAACAGUUGUUCACACACUUCAAUGGAGACAAAAUGGCUGCAUGAUCUUGCUAAUUAGUGUGUAAAGGAAGUGGAACACACGUCUGCCCAAACUAUGGCUUUAAUACAUGCCAUGUGGCUUUGCCAUCAGUGUGUUUGAUAAAUGUUGUUCAAAGUCCUUUGAACCCAAUAAUGGGUUUAAGAUACCUGCUUAUGUCUGCUAUCUCAUGGUAAAGCAAGGUGAAGAUUAGAUUGUAGAUUGAAGCAUUUGGGAUCAAUUGUGAGAUUGUGUAAGUGAAAGCAGCCCCGAAGAACACUAUUAGUACUGCAAGAGAAUUCUAUAAUUAAUUUCUACAAAACUAUUACUUAUAUGAAGUUCUGUCUGGUUAUCCCUUCUUUUCCAUCCCUUUGUUUUUGCAUAAUUUGAGAUCUGUUAAAAGCUCUGAUUUGAUCAUGGGACAGGUGGUAGUAAUCUGACUUUCAACAUUUUACACUUACAAUAGUAGCGUUCCAAAAUAAAGUUAUAAUCUGUUUUCUUUUUAUCUCCCAAGCCAACAGUACUUUUUACAGCUAGUUAUUUAGUGAAUAUGUCACCUUAUUUUGAGUAUAACAUACACAGAGAUGGAAUAACCAUGCAAUGGUAUCUGCUCUCACAUAUGUGAAAUCCAUAAAUGACAUAAUAACACUAAGUAGUUUUGCCCUUUGCUGAGUUUUAACUUUUCAACUUAAGUACAGUUUUGUUUACGGUUACAGCACAGUGUGUGUAAUUUAAAUAACAUGCACAACACUGUAAGUGGGUUUGAGGUCAAUGUGUACUGUAAACAAACACUUUGUACGUGCCCAAAAAAUCCUGCAUGCAAGGUGAAGGGGAAUGAAAGGAUGGCAAUAGCUGCUGCGUCCAGUUUAUGUGGCUCUGCAGAAGCUGGAAUUGCGUCACUGGACCACACUGCCAGAGCCGCAAAAAGAUUCUAUAAUAUAUUUCUACAAAACUAUUACUUAUUUUGGUUUGGUGAGGGUUGUACUAAAUAUCUAUGAAGUCUCCAGAGAGUCCCGGCAGGGACCCAGGUAAGGGGGCAAUCCGUUACUAAAUGGUUUAUCCUGUUACCAGGGAACUCUCGGCAUCAUAACCAUUACAGCAUAUUGUGGGGGAUAUAAUGAUUGAAUUAAUGCUAUAAAGUAACUAAGUAUGGACUUUGCACAAUAAAAUGUACCAAGUGUUAUGUAGAGAUAAUCAUACUUCCUGUGAUCUAAGGAAAUGUGGAAUUUGUGUAAAUUUAGGCUGAUAUCACUGGUGAUAUCGGUUGCAGGUUAUAUUUAUUUAAGCCAUAUCAGGUAACUUGAAUAAAAUUAAAGAGACAGGACCAACCAGGUAAUCCAAAAUGAUCAAAUCCAUAACCUUUUCAUAUCUAUAAGUGCAGAGGGGUAAAGGCAGGGCUAGUGUGACAAAGCUUUCCACCGCUACGGUCACAGCCAAAAGUCCCCUGGUCACUAAAGGGGAAUCUUCUGGGGGGCAAGCUUGGCACAUGCCAUAUUCUGAAGCAUCUCAAGGAAGAAAGGCUGAACUCACUUGGGGCAUGUUGUAAACCCCCCAAAUACGGCAAAAAUAAAAUGAAACCAUCAUAAAGACUGAAACUCUUUAUAAAGGCUCUAAUAGGAACCAACAUGUUGCUGUUCUUCAUCUAUUAAAUCUGCCUGGAUCUUAAACCUGUGCCCGAGCUAUUUUCUUUGUCUGUAGCUACCAUUAAAAUUUGGUUCCCUCUGAACUGGAGGCUUGGUUACCAUUUUUUUUUUAAAUUCUUUAUUUUUGUUCGUGCAUGAAUUAGG